AACGAACGCUGGCGGCAUGCCUAACACAUGCAAGUCGAACGAACCCUUCGGGGUUAGUGGCGCACGGGUGCGUAACGCGUGGGAAUCUGCCCUUUGCUUCGGAAUAACAGUUAGAAAUGACUGCUAAUACCGGAUGAUGUCGCAAGACCAAAGAUUUUUCGGCAAAGGAUGAGCCCGCGUAGGAUUAGCUCGUUGGUGGGUUAACGGCUCACCAAGGCGACGAUCCUUAGCUGGUCUGAGAGGAUGAUCAGCCACACUGGGAUUGGGACACGGCCCAGACUCCUACGGGAGGCAGCAUUGGGUAAUAUUGGACAAUGGGCGAAAGCCUGAUCCAGCAAUGCCGCGUGAGUGAUGAAGGCCUUCGGGUUGUAAAGCUCUUUUACCAGGGAUGAUAAUGACAGUACCUGGAGAAUAAGCUCCGGCUAACUCCGUGCCAGCAGCCGCCGCCG
rnacentral:rRNA from 1 species